rnacentral:ncRNA from 2 species
GUUGCUCUAACGGGGUGCCUUAUGUCCGGCAACGGAGAUCUGGCUGAGAGGCGUGCAAACGCUAACCCGCGGAACCUGAUCCGGUUAACACCGGCGGAGGGAUUAGACGCGCGAUCUUC